GAUGAACGCUAGCGGCAGGCCUAAUACAUGCAAGUCGGACGGGAUUCCGGAGCUUGCUUCUGAUGAGAGUGGCGCACGGGUGCGUAACACGUAUGUAACCUACCUUUAUCAGGGGGAUAGCCUCUCGAAAGAGAGAUUAAGCCCGCAUAAAAUCACAGCACAGCCUUGUGUAAUGAUCAAAUAUUUAUAUGAUAAAGAUGGGUAUGCGGAACAUUAGCUAGAUGGCGGGGUAACGGCACACCAUGGCGACGAAGUUGAGGGGAUCGGAGGGGAUGGCCCCCUACACUGGUACUGAGGCCCGGACCAGACUCCUACGAGAGGGAGGGGUAAGGAAUAUUGGUGAAUGGGCGGAAGCCUAAACCAGCCAUGCCGCGUGCAGGAAGACGGCCCUACGGGUUGUAAACUGCUUGUAUACGGGAAUAAACCCAGAUACGUGUAUCUGGCUGAAGGUACUGUAAGAAUAAGGAUCGGCUAACUCCGUG
rnacentral:rRNA from 1 species